rnacentral:rRNA from 1 species
UAGGGGGUUUCCGCCCCUUAGUGCUGCAGCUAACGCAUUAAGCACUCCGCCUGGGGAGUACGGUCGCAAGACUGAACUCAAAGGAAUUGACGGGGGCCCGCCAAGCGGUGGAGCAUGUGGUUUAAUUCGAAGCAACGCGAAGAACCUUACCAGGUCUUGACAUCCUCUGACAACCCUAGAGAUAGGGCUUUCCCUUCGGGGACAGAGUGACAGGUGGUGCAUGGUUGUCGUCAGCUCGUGUCGUGAGAUGUUGGGUUAAGUCCCGCAACGAGCGCAACCCUUGAUCUUAGUUGCCAGCAUUUAGUUGGGCACUCUAAGGUGACUGCCGGUGACAAACCGGAGGAAGGUGGGGAUGACGUCAAAUCAUCAUGCCCCUUAUGACCUGGGCUACACACGUGUUACAAUGGACAGAACAAAGGGCUGCGAGACCGCAAGGUUUAGCCAAUCCCACAAAUCUGUUCUCAGUUCGGA